rnacentral:lncRNA from 1 species
ACUCCGCAGACUUCCCUUGGAGAAGAGCUGUGUGUGUGUGUGUGUGUGUGUGUGUGUGUGUGCUCCCCUCAUUAUCGUGUCGUCGUCAAUUAUUCUUGUUCUACAGCCGGCACUCUUGCCGAGCCCCAAAGCCCGUCCAUGGAGGAACUUUGCAUUUAGUUGAUGAGCUUCCCCUGCCCUGCUCCCAUGCAAUGACUCAUUUUCUUGGUCCUUUGUGGCACAUCUUUCUGCUGGCUGCAAGUUGAUCAAUGGCUCUGUCCGCUCCCUGCCUGAACAGCCACGAGUGGAUGGUGUUUCAUGCAAUUACGAAUUUAUAUUGCGUAUACGCCAUGCGGAGACACACAGAGACGAGGAAGUCUCCUCGAAUGUGCUUGCCACAACUGCAGCAAUAAUGAACUUUGAUUUGGCCCUCACACAGUCCCCCCCCCCCCACACAAAACCCCACUCUAG